rnacentral:rRNA from 1 species
GUGACUGCGUACCUUUUGUAUAAUGGGUCAGCGACUUAUAUUCUGUAGCAAGGUUAACCGAAUAGGGGAGCCGAAGGGAAACCGAGUCUUAACUGGGCGUUAAGUUGCAGGGUAUAGACCCGAAACCCGGUGAUCUAGCCAUGGGCAGGUUGAAGGUUGGGUAACACUAACUGGAGGACCGAACCGACUAAUGUUGAAAAAUUAGCGGAUGACUUGUGGCUGGGGGUGAAAGGCCAAUCAAACCGGGAGAUAGCUGGUUCUCCCCGAAAGCUAUUUAGGUAGCGCCUCGUGAAUUCAUCUCCGGGGGUAGAGCACUGUUUCGGCAAGGGGGUCAUCCCGACUUACCAACCCGAUGCAAACUGCGAAUACCGGAGAAUGUUAUCACGGGAGACACACGGCGGGUGCUAACGUCCGUCGUGAAGAGGGAAACAACCCAGACCGCCAGCUAAGGUCCCAAAGUCAUGGUUAAGUGGGAAACGAUGUGGGAAGGCCCAGACAGCCAGGAUGUUGGCUUAGAAGCAGCCAUCAUUUAAAGAAAGCGUAAUAGCUCACUGGUCGAGUCGGCCUGCGCGGAAGAUGUAACGGGGCUAAACCAUGCACCGAAGCUGCGGCAGCGACACUGUGUGUUGUUGGGUAGGGGAGCGUUCUGUAAGCCUGUGAAGGUGUGCUGUGAGGCAUGCUGGAGGUAUCAGAAGUGCGAAUGCUGACAUAAGUAACGAUAAAGCGGGUGAAAAGCCCGCUCGCCGGAAGACCAAGGGUUCCUGUCCAACGUUAAUCGGGGCAGGGUGAGUCGACCCCUAAGGCGAGGCCGAAAGGCGUAGUCGAUGGGAAACAGGUUAAUAUUCCUGUACUUGGUGUUACUGCGAAGGGGGGACGGAGAAGGCUAUGUUGGCCGGGCGACGGUUGUCCCGGUUUAAGCGUGUAGGCUGGUUUUCCAGGCAAAUCCGGAAAAUCAAGGCUGAGGCGUGAUGACGAGGCACUACGGUGCUGAAGCAACAAAUGCCCUGCUUCCAGGAAAAGCCUCUAAGCAUCAGGUAACAUCAAAUCGUACCCCAAACCGACACAGGUGGUCAGGUAGAGAAUACCAAGGCGCUUGAGAGAACUCGGGUGAAGGAACUAGGCAAAAUGGUGCCGUAACUUCGGGAGAAGGCACGCUGAUAUGUAGGUGAAGUCCCUCGCGGAUGGAGCUGAAAUCAGUCGAAGAUACCAGCUGGCUGCAACUGUUUAUUAAAAACACAGCACUGUGCAAACACGAAAGUGGACGUAUACGGUGUGACGCCUGCCCGGUGCCGGAAGGUUAAUUGAUGGGGUCAGCGCAAGCGAAGCUCUUGAUCGAAGCCCCGGUAAACGGCGGCCGUAACUAUAACGGUCCUAAGGUAGCGAAAUUCCUUGUCGGGUAAGUUCCGACCUGCACGAAUGGCGUAAUGAUGGCCAGGCUGUCUCCACCCGAGACUCAGUGAAAUUGAACUCGCUGUGAAGAUGCAGUGUACCCGCGGCAAGACGGAAAGACCCCGUGAACCUUUACUAUAGCUUGACACUGAACAUUGAGCCUUGAUGUGUAGGAUAGGUGGGAGGCUUUGAAGUGUGGACGCCAGUCUGCAUGGAGCCGACCUUGAAAUACCACCCUUUAAUGUUUGAUGUUCUAACGUGGACCCGUGAUCCGGGUUGCGGACAGUGUCUGGUGGGUAGUUUGACUGGGGCGGUCUCCUCCUAAAGAGUAACGGAGGAGCACGAAGGUUGGCUAAUCCUGGUCGGACAUCAGGAGGUUAGUGCAAUGGCAUAAGCCAGCUUGACUGCGAGCGUGACGGCGCGAGCAGGUGCGAAAGCAGGUCAUAGUGAUCCGGUGGUUCUGAAUGGAAGGGCCAUCGCUCAACGGAUAAAAGGUACUC